CUUAAAUCAAUGACAGUGAAGCAAGUGGCAUCAUGUGGAAUGGCUGUAAUGAGGGAUGUCACAUCAGGGACAAUGGGUGAAAUGGGCACAAUUAAACUAUUCAGGGCUCUAAAGUCCUGAACUAAGUGAUAUGCUGGCCAGUGGUGUUGGGAGUGGGUCUGGUGUUGUUCUUGCCUACCGGGCAUAUUUUGAGAAUUGUGGGGUUGUUGGGGUGUGUGGGGUUUCCUGGGGUAUGGACACUAAUUCCUCCAGUGGCCAUAUUGUCCACAGUUGAAACAAGUGUUCCUGUCUAUUCCUCCUUGGUUACCCCUGCCCCUAUAACCCUGAUUUCCCUGUCUCCAUCCCCUUGCCCCUCUUUGACCACCCCUUCCGCGGGCUUUAUGUGCUCCAUCCCAUCCUCGCCCUCAGCCUGUGUAGCUGGACAUAAUAUGUUGCAAUCCCUGAGCAUAAUAAGCAACCUUACUUUCCUAAAUCUUUUCUUAAUUCAAAACAACCUGCAUUUUCCUUUUCUAUAACCUUGGUAAGAAAAUCUGAGCUAUCCAAAUUGGCCCAGUCUGAAAUCAAUUGUUUCACAAGCAAAUAAUACUGUGGCAACAUAUUACCAAGGCAUGACUGUAUUUUAAAGAGAUCUAUAUCAUCUCCAGACAUCAAACCUGCCUCAUCCUUCCAACACUUGUAAAAUUUCUUUACAAAAAUCAUAUUACCAAUCUCUUCCUUUGCAUCCUGCUUAAAUGCCAAAGCAGUGAAUAUAGACUGCUUAUUCUUCCAUAAUCCCAACAUUUCAGCUUCCACCUUGUUCCAAAUUUUAGCACAUCUUACUGAAGUACUAAGCUCAUAAUCACCAAUUCAUUUCAAACCAUAUAACUCAUACUCAGCAUCCAAUGUAAUAUUACACGUCAUCUCACAAAACAAUAUCUUUGUAGAAACACAUAAUGGGUACCCAGCAGAUAUGCCAAUACAGAAAUCACAUUUAUGGGCACACAACUACACACUCUGUCUCCCUCCUAGGAAACACAGAUAGACA